rnacentral:rRNA from 1 species
UAAGGUAGCGAAAUUCCUUGUCGGGUAAGUUCCGGCCUGCACGAAUGGUGUAACGAUUUGGGCACUGUCUCAACCACGGGCUCGGCGAAAUUGUGGUACCGGUGAAGACGCCGGUUACCCGCAUAUGGACGGAAAGACCCUAUGCACCUUUACUAUAACUUAGUAUUGGGUUUGGUUGCAUGAUGCGUAGGAUAGGUGGGAGGCUGCGAUCCGGUACUUUCGGGUAUCGGGGAGCCAACGGUGAAAUACCACCCUUCAUGCAAUCGGAUUCUAACCCGGCGGAGUGGAUCCGCGGGAACAGUGCUAGGCGGGUAGUUUGACUGGGGCGGUCGCCUCCUAAAAUGUAACGGAGGCUUGCCAAGGUUCCCUCAGCACGGUUGGUAAUCGUGCGUAGAGUGCAAAAGCAUAAGGGAGCUUGACUGCAAGAGAGACAUCUCGAGCAGGGACGAAAGUCGGCUUUAGUGAUCCGGCGGCUCUGAAUGGAAAGGCCGUCGCUCAAAGGAUAAAAGGUACGCUAGGGAUAACAGGCUGAUCUUGCCCAAGAGUUCACAUCGACGGCAAGGUUUGGCACCUCGAUGUCGGCUCAUCGCAUCCUGGGGCUGGAGAAGGUCCCAAGGGUUUGGCUGUUCGCCAAUUAAAGCGGUACGCGAGCUGGGUUCAGAACGUCGUGAGACAGUUCGGUCCCUAUCCUAUGCGGGCGCAAGAUACUUGAGGGGACUCGUUCUUAGUACGAGAGGACCGGAAUGACCGGACCGACGGUGUAUCAGUUGUCACGCCAGUGGCACGGCUGAGUAGCCAUGUCCGGAAAGGAUAAGUGCUGAAAGCAUCUCAAGCACGAAACCUACCCCAAGAUGAGGUAUCUCUUAAGGACCCGGGGAGAUGACCCGGUUGAUAGGCGAUAGGUGGAAGCACAGUAAUGUGUGAAGCCAAGUCGUACUAAUAGUCCGUCGGCUUACCAU